GACGAACGCUGGCGGCGUGCUUAACACAUGCAAGUCGAGCGGUAAGGCCCUUUCGGGGUACGACGAGCGGCGAACGGGUGAGUAACACGUGGGUGACCUGCCCUCAGCUCUGGGAUAAGCCUGGGAAACCGGGUCUAAUACUGGAUAUGACUCCAUGACGCAUGUUGUGGGGUGGAAAGCCUUGUGCGGCUGAGGAUGGGCCCGCGGCCUAUCAGCUUGUUGGUGGGGUGAGGCCUACCAAGGCGACGACGGGUAGCCGGCCUGAGAGGGCGACCGGCCACACUGGGACUGAGACACGGCCCAGACUCCUACGGGAGGCAGCAGUGGGGAAUCUUGCGCAAUGGGCGAAAGCCUGACGCAGCGACGCCGCGUGAGGGAUGACGGCCUGG
rnacentral:rRNA from 1 species